GACAGAGGGUGCAAACGUUGUUCGGAAUUACUGGGCGUAAAGCGUGUGUAGGCGGUCCGAUAAGUCGGGUGUGAAAGCCCUGGGCUCAACCCAGGAAGUGCACUCGAAACUGCCGGGCUAGAGUAUCGGAGAGGUUGGUGGAAUUCUCGGUGUAGAGGUGAAAUUCGUAGAUAUCGAGAGGAACACCGGUGGCGAAGGCGGCCAACUGGACGAAUACUGACGCUGAGGCGCGAAAGCGUGGGGAGCAAACAGG
rnacentral:rRNA from 1 species